GCCUAAACCCGACAGCAGCGGCAGCCUCCGAUUCCUUCCAUCGGAGCUAUAGCGAAUGGCGGGGCUGAAA
rnacentral:sRNA from 1 species